rnacentral:rRNA from 1 species
UCGAACGGAGCUUAGAGAGCUUGCUUUUUAAGCUUAGUGGCGAACGGGUGAGUAACGCGUGAGUAACCUGCCCUAGAGUGGGGGACAACAGUUGGAAACGACUGCUAAUACCGCAUAAGCCCACGGUGCCGCAUGGUACUGAGGGAAAAGGAUUUAUUCGCUUUAGGAUGGACUCGCGUCCAAUUAGCUAGUUGGUGAGGUAACGGCCCACCAAGGCGACGAUUGGUAGCCGGACUGAGAGGUUGAACGGCCACAUUGGGACUGAGACACGGCCCAGACUCCUACGGGAGGCAGCAGUGGGGGAUAUUGCACAAUGGGGGAAACCCUGAUGCAGCGACGCCGCGUGGAGGAGGAAGGUUUUCGGAUUGUAAACUCCUGUCGUUAGGGACGAUAAUGACGGUACCUAACAAGAAAGCACCGGCUAACUACGUGCCAGCAGCCGCGGUAAAACGUAGGGUGCAAGCGUUGUCCGGAAUUACUGGGUGUAAAGGGAGCGCAGGCGGGAAGACAAGUUGGAAGUGAAAACCAUGGGCUCAACCCAUGAAUUGCUUUCAAAACUGUUUUUCUUGAGUAGUGCAGAGGUAGAUGGAAUUCCCGGUGUAGCGGUGGAAUGCGUAGAUAUCGGGAGGAACACCAGUGGCGAAGGCGGUCUACUGGGCACCAACUGACGCUGAGGCUCGAAAGCAUGGGUAGCAAACAGGAUUAGAUACCCUGGUAGUCCAUGCCGUAAACGAUGAUUA